UGUUCAGUUGUAGUUUACGCGUCGGCCGCAGCACAACGCUAACGAGCAAAACGGAUAAACGGUAUACGAAUAACGAAGAUAAAACAGAAACAGAGACAGCGGCGACAUAGGCGAAGCGCAGCUCCAGACUGUAUGUGUUCUGCCAGCGUUUGUUCUUUAGUCUUCUGUCUGUGUUAUCAGUUCAACGGCAGCGAAAUACCAAAUCGUCGGAGAGCAGGUGGUAGCAGCUGAGCCGGCGGCAAAAAAGCCACAAAAGAGGCCAACAACAACAAUAACAACGACAACAACAACACCAACAAGCAAGCGAGCAAGAACAAUAGUAAUUAAGGCGAAAACGUGCCACGAAAAACAAACCGAGAGAACAAACAAAGAAAGGCAAAGAAAUAAGCGCAACAAGAGGCGCAAAAAUUAGUUGCCUUAAUGCUUCUAUAGCAAUUAAGCCAACAGCAGCAACAACAACGGUUAACCAAAUGCGCAAUGCAUAAAAUUAAACAGACAACAGCAACAACAACAACAAUAAAUCAAAAGACGGCGACGACAGGUGGAAAAGCUGUGCACGGCCCUCAUGCAGCGCCGUCGCCGUCUCAUUGAAUUAAUUUCAACAGCACAUAAAUUGGCCGUUUGAAGAGCACGAAAAUUGUAAAGCGGAAAAGCGGAAAAACUAAAAAAAAAAAAAGGAAAGCAAAACAAAGGAAUAAGUAAACACUCGAAUAGAAAACAAAACCCAAGUUUUUGUUUCCAGUCAGAAAUCAACGACUGUCAACUGAACGAUUGGCGUUUGGCGUUUGUCGUUUGUCGCUUUUUAUUGAUUUUAUAUA